rnacentral:rRNA from 1 species
AACGAACGCUGGCGGCAGGCCUAACACAUGCAAGUCGAGCGAGGACUUCGGUCCUAGCGGCGGACGGGUGAGUAACGCGUGGGAACGUGCCCUUUGCUACGGAAUAGCCCCGGGAAACUGGGAGUAAUACCGUAUGUGCCCGAGAGGGGAAGGAUUUAUCGGCAAAGGAUCGGCCCGCGUUGGAUUAGGUAGUUGGUGGGGUAAUGGCCUACCAAGCCGACGAUCCAUAGCUGGUUUGAGAGGAUGAUCAGCCACACUGGGACUGAGACGCGGCCCAGACUCCUACGGGCGGCAGCAGUGGGGAAUCUUAGACAAUGGGGGAAACCCUGAUCUAGCCAUGCCGCGUGAGCGAUGAAGGCCUUAGGGUUGUAAAGCUCUUUCAGUGGGGAAGAUAAUGACGGUACCCACAGAAGAAGCCCCGGCUAACUCCGUGCCAGCAGCCGCCGUAAUAC